rnacentral:rRNA from 1 species
GGUAAACUAGGAUUAGAUACCCUAGUAUACAAAUAAUUUUAGGAAGUAAUUUUUUUUUAAAAAACCUAUUUAAAAUGGCGGCAUUUCAUCUUUUUAAAGGAAUCUGUUUUAUAAUCGAUAUUCCACGAUAAUUUUCACUUUAAUUAAAAAUUUAUAUACCGCCAUCUAAAGAAUUAAUUUAAUAAUACUAUUCUAAACAAUAAAAUAAAAAGUUAGGUCAAGGUGUAAUCUACAUUAAAGUAAAUAAUGGAUUACAUUAAAAAUAAUUUAAGAAUAUAAUUAAUAAAUUUUUCAUUGAAAAAGGAUUUAUAAGUAAUAUUAUAAUAAUAUUAUAAUAUGAAUUAGAUAAUAAAUGUGUUCAUAUCGCCCGUCACCCUUAUCAUAAGAUAAGAU